rnacentral:rRNA from 1 species
UGAGGAAUCUUGCGCAAUGGGCGAAAGCCUGACGCAGCAACGCCGCGUGGAUGAUGAAGGCCUUCGGGUCGUAAAAUCCUGUCGAGUGGGACGAAUCACCGAUCGGCGAACAGUCGGUCGGCUUGACUGUACCACUGGAGGAAGCCCCGGCUAACUCCGUGCCAGCAGCCGCGGUAAUACGGAGGGGGCGAGCGUUGUUCGGAAUCAUUGGGCGUAAAGGGCGCGUAGGCGGUCGGGUAAGUCGGUUGUGAAAUCCCCUGGCUUAACCAGGGAAGUGCGUCCGAAACUGCCUGACUAGAGGCCGGGAGAGGAGAGUGGAAUUCCCAGUGUAGCGGUGAAAUGCGUAGAUAUUGGGAGGAACACCGGUGGCGAAGGCGGCUCUCUGGACCGGUUCUGACGCUGAGGCGCGAAAGCUAGGGGAGCAAACAGG